UUUACAAAAACAUUGUCUUAUGAACACAAUAUUAGAUAAUACCUGCCCAGUGACACUAUGUUCAACGGCCGCGGUAUCCUAACCGUGCAAAGGUAGCAUAAUCAUUUGCCUAUUAAUUGUAGGCUAGAAUGAACGGGUUAACGAAAUAAAAGCUGUCUCAAUUAAUCAACUAAAAAUUAUUUUCUAUCUGAAGAAAGGUAGAUAGCCUCGAAGGACAAGAAGACCCUAUAGAGCUUAAUUUUAACUAUAAAAUUAUACUAUAUAAUAUUCGGUUGGGGCGACCCAGGGCUAAUUAAUCACCCAUUUAAAUAAAGAUAAAUAAAUCUAGUAAAUGACCCUUUAAAGAUCAUAAAAACAAGCUACCUUAGGGAUAACAGGCUAAUCCCACUUAAGAGUCCUUAUCAACAGUGGGGUUUGGCACCUCGAUGUUGGCUUAGGGUAUCUCUAUAGCGCAAAAGCUAUAUAAAGAUGGUUUGUUCAACCAAUAAUUCCCUACGUGAUCUGAGUCCAAAACCAGA
rnacentral:rRNA from 1 species